AAAUUGAAGAGUUUGAUCAUGGCUCAGAUUGAACGCUGGCGGCAGGCCUAACACAUGCAAGUCGAGCGGUAGCACAGGAGAGCUUGCUCUCCGGGUGACGAGCGGCGGACGGGUGAGUAAUGUCUGGGAAACUGCCUGAUGGAGGGGGAUAACUACUGGAAACGGUAGCUAAUACCGCAUAACGUC
rnacentral:rRNA from 1 species